rnacentral:rRNA from 1 species
GACGAACGCUGGCGGCGUGCCUAAUACAUGCAAGUUGAGCGCUGAAGGUUGGUACUUGUACCAACUGGAUGAGCAGCGAACGGGUGAGUAACGCGUGGGGAAUCUGCCUUUGAGCGGGGGACAACAUUUGGAAACGAAUGCUAAUACCGCAUAAAAACUUUAAACACAAGUUUUAAGUUUGAAAGAUGCAAUUGCAUCACUCAAAGAUGAUCCCGCGUUGUAUUAGCUAGUUGGUGAGGUAAAGGCUCACCAAGGUGAUGAUACAUAGCCGACCUGAGAGGGUGAUAGGCCACAUUGGGACUGAGACACGGCCCAAACUCCUACGGGAGGCAGCAGUAGGGAAUCUUCGGCAAUGGACGAAAGUCUGACCGAGCAACGCCGCGUGAGUGAAGAAGGUUUUCGGAUCGUAAAACUCUGUUGGUAGAGAAGAACGUUGGUGAGAGUGGAAAGCUCAUCAAGUGACGGUAACUACCCAGAAAGGGACGGCUAACUACGUG